GGCUCUCUCUAGCGGAGAGUC
rnacentral:snRNA from 1 species